rnacentral:rRNA from 1 species
AUGGGCUAUGCAAAAAUUCAUGUUGAUGCCGGGGUAAGAUUUGAGCGCGGAGGAUCUGCAGUGGCUAUUUGCAGAGAUGAGCACGGAUUCUACCUUGGAAGUUCCGCACUAGUCAUCUACGGGUUUUGUGAUCCCGCAGCUCUGGAAGCGAUUGCAUGUCGGGAGGCGCUAGCCUUGGCAGAAGAUCUCAAUUUGCAACAGUUCAUUGUUGCUUCCGACUGUAAACAAGUUGUUUCAGACAUCUCGAAGGGGGCCAGAGGGCGGUAUGGCGCUAUCAUCAGCGAGAUAAAUCUAAAAGAUGCUACUUUUAACUGUAAGUUUGGUUUCGAGGGUCGUGCCGCGAACUAUGAGGCACAUAAACUAGCUAAAUUUGCUCUUUCUAAGGGUCCGGGACGCCAUGUAUGGUUUGGUAAUCCCCAUGACCUUUCUUGUAUCCCACCUCGUGUGGACUUUGGUGAUGAAUAA